ACAUGCAGUCGAACGAAGGCUUCGGCCUUAGUGGCGCACGGGUGCGUAACGCGUGGGGAUCUGCCCCUUGGUUCGGAAUAACAGUUGGAAACGACUGCUAAUACCGGAUGAUGACGUAAGUCCAAAGAUUUAUCGCCGAGGGAUGAGCCCGCGUAGGAUUAGGUAGUUGGUGUGGUAAAGGCGCACCAAGCCGACGAUCCUUAGCUGGUCUGAGAGGAUGAUCAGCCACACUGGGACUGAGACACGGCCCAGACUCCUACGGGAGGCAGCAGUGGGGAAUAUUGGACAAUGGGCGAAAGCCUGAUCCAGCAAUGCCGCGUGAGUGAUGAAGGCCUUAGGGUUGUAAAGCUCUUUUACCCGGGAUGAUAAUGACAGUACCGGGAGAAUAAGCUCCGGCUAACUCCGUGCCAGCAGCCGCGGUAAUACGGAGGGAGCUAGCGUUAUUCGGAAUUACUGGGCGUAAAGCGCACGUAGGCGGCUUUGUAAGUAAGAGGUGAAAGCCCAGAGCUCAACUCUG
rnacentral:rRNA from 1 species